UACGGAGGGAGCAAGCGUUACUCGGAAUUAUUGGGCGUAAAGGGCGCGUAGGCGAUUUGAAAAGUCUUGUGUGAAAGCCCCGAGCUUAACUCGGGAAGUGCACAAGAAACUGUUGAAUUUGAGUUCCGGAGAGGAAGGCAGAAUUCCCGGUGUAGCGGUGAAAUGCGUAGAUAUCGGGAGGAAUACCAGUGGCGAAGGCGGCCUUCUGGACGGAUACUGACGCUGAGGCGCGAAAGCCAGGGGAGCAAACCGG
rnacentral:rRNA from 1 species